rnacentral:rRNA from 1 species
UCGGGAAUUUUGGGCAAUGGGCGAAAGCCUGACCCAGCAACGCCGCGUGAAGGAUGAAGUAUUUCGGUAUGUAAACUUCGAAAGAAUAGGAAGAAUAAAUGACGGUACUAUUUAUAAGGUCCGGCUAACUACGUGCCAGCAGCCGCGGUAAUACGUAGGGACCAAGCGUUGUUCGGAUUUACUGGGCGUAAAGGGCGCGUAGGCGGCAAUUCAAGUCAUCUGUGAAAUCUCCGGGCUUAACUCGGAACGGUCAGAUGAUACUGCUUUGCUAGAGUGCAGAAGGGGCAAUCGGAAUUCUUGGUGUAGCGGUGAAAUGCGUAGAUAUCAAGAGGAACACCUGAGGUGAAGACGGGUUGCUGGGCUGACACUGACGCUGAGGCGCGAAAGCCAGGGGAGCAAACAGGAUUAGAUACCCAUGUAGUCCCUGAGCGGGCUGGCAAGGCGCAU